rnacentral:siRNA from 1 species
UAGACACGGUGCCUGUAGACUCCCA